rnacentral:lncRNA from 1 species
GCCAGUAUGCAUUUCCUCUUUAAGCUUCGUCCUAAAACUAAUCUCUUAAGAAAAAGUGGUGCAACACAAAUCUAUGUUGGUGCGAUAAGAUCUGAUACAUCCUGCAUUAUGCUUAUUCUUGUCCAAAAAAGAAAAAUGAUUACUCCAUGUGAUUAACUUGAUAAAAUAAUCCUACCAGUCAGUCAAGACUCUCGCAAGACUUUCCCAACAUACAUCGACUUCUUUCAUCCCUCCCUCCCAUAAUACUAAUUGUAGACUU